UACGGGGGGGGCAAGCGUUGUUCGGAAUUACUGGGCGUAAAGGGCUCGUAGGCGGCCAACUAAGUCAGACGUGAAAUCCCUCGGCUUAACCGGGGAACUGCGUCUGAUACUGGAUGGCUCGAGUUUGGGAGAGGGAUGCGGAAUUCCAGGUGUAGCGGUGAAAUGCGUAGAUAUCUGGAGGAACACCGGUGGCGAAGGCGGCAUCCUGGACCAACACUGACGCUGAGGCACGAAAGCGUGGGGAGCAAACAGG
rnacentral:rRNA from 1 species